rnacentral:misc_RNA from 1 species
GGCGAGCAAAGUGGGUGAACGGAUCUCAAUUCUAUAUGCUCCUUGUAGAGCCAUUAGAUAUUGCCGAGUAUUAUCGUACAGGAAUGCACCGUAAGAAGGGUCAUUACAUUAGCAAUGGAAGAGAGCGGAGGUACAAGAUUUUUGAAAGGUGGUGGAAAGAGAGACCAAUUAAAGAGGAAGAGAAGAAAACAAGAAGCACGUUCGCAAGUUCCACCCAAGACACAUGUUUUUGGGCCAGAGUGGAGGAAGCUAGAGAGCGGCUAGACAAUGUGAGAAACGAGACAGAUCCGAGAAAUCAGGCUCUGCUGUUGUCUUCCCUUGAUGACUUUUCAAAGUAUGCGAGUGGAUUAGUGGAAAGAAAAGAGGUGUCUAAGGAUGUAGUAGCAAGGAAUUCAAGCUAUUGUAUGUGGGUGAGAGAUUAUGAGGAAUUAAAAUCACAGUAUGUGCAAUUGCAUCCCUAGUUUCCAAGUUUUGUGGAUAGGGAAGUUGUUCUUUUAUCUCU